ACAAAUAUAUGGAUAUUUUAAAACCUUUUUUUUUUCUUGUUAGAUAAAACAAAAGAGAAUUCUAGAAGCCUAAAGUGGGUGCAGAAUUCCCUGUUUUCCUCACAGCUGGAACAGGCUAAUUCCAAACAAAUGAAGAUUAAUGGACCAUCAGUAAUUACAUUUAUGUUCACACAUUUAAGUGAAAAAUGAAUUGUUGGUCAGAAAGCUAACAUCUUAAGUGUGCGACUUACAUGUGUCUCUCCUUUUUAGAUACUGAAUAAAUAUCGACUAAUUGUUGAAUUAGCCACCCUCAUAAAAAGGCUCUAGUUAAUUUA